AUUGAACGCUGGCGGCAGGCCUAACACAUGCAAGUAGAGCGGAGCGGCGGAAGGGUGAGUAAUGCCUAGGAAUCGGCCUGGUAGAGGGGGAUAAAGUCCGGAAACGGGCGCUAAUACCGCAUACUCUCCGAUGAGCCUAGGUCGGCUUAGCUAGUUGGUGGGGUAAAGGCCUACCAAGGCGACGCUCCGAAACUGGUCUGAGAGGAUGAUCAGUCACACUGGAACUGAGACACGGUCCAGAUUCCUACGGGAGGCAGGAGUGGGGAAUAGUGCACUAUGGGCGCAAGCCUGUGGCAGCCAUGCCGCGUGUAUGAAGAAGGCCUUCGGGUUGUAAAGUACUUUCAGCUGGGAGGCGUUACCCGCAGAAGAAGCACCGGCUAACUCCGUGCCAGCAGCCGCGGUAAUUC
rnacentral:rRNA from 1 species